ensembl:lncRNA
AAAAUAAUCAGCAUCUACAAGCAAUAUCAAAGACAUUGUAGCAGAGGCUAUUGUCAUUGCAAGAUGCAUGGAGAAAGUGUAAGCUCUCACAACAAUAGAUGAGGCUUCAUUAUAUCAUCGUUAUCCUACCUUGGGCAUUCUGAAAGGGAAAACAAGGCUCUUGGGUCCAUCCCCCAGCAGCCCAUAAGAGCAGCAGCACCAACUCCUCACACAACACUGAUCCUUGGCCAUUUCCCAAGGAAUUUUAAGGGAUCUCCUCCCACCACCGCUCUUUAAUACAGUUUAGCCUAUAACGAACAUGCAGUGAAAUAGGAUAUACAGAGGAUGCUUAGAGAACAAAGCCAAUACAAAAGUAAGUUACAUGACAAAGGCCCUGUAUUAUUUUUAGCACUUUUAUCUGUUUAGAAUUACUGUUGGAUGCAGACUUAUUCAUGACUACUAAAAGCGACUAGUCCCCAUUGCUGAGGCAAUGAGCGAGUUCAGGCAGACUGACGCGGUGGGGCAAAUCACCUCGCUGUUUGCUCACUUCCAGACCAACGUGUGCCCCUGGAAACACGCAGGUAAGGACCGCAACGAACGCCUUGAACUGCGAAUUCCAGCUCGGCUUCGGAAGGCAGCGCUCGGGCACGGCGCCAUACGGUGACCGGGGGGCAGCGGCGGCCCCCGCGCCCCCUCACGGCCUGGGGCCGCGUCAGAGCCCCGCGCUUCUGCCGCUGGCUCAGCCGGGGCGGCAGCGCUGUGGAACGCGUUUGCUUUAAGGAAAAAAAAAAGAAAAAAAAAAAAGUCUUUUGCCUACCCCACUCGAAGGCUGGGUGGAAAAGUUAGGGCGCCCCCAGGAAGGGGCGGCUCAGCGCCGGGGCUGGGCCUGCGGCGCCGCUUGCCCCACUCUGGCAGCCCGCGGGCUCCGUCCCGGCCGCCGUGCGGGAGCGGGCGGGCAGCGGACUUCGGCCCGCCGCCACCCCGGCCCGUUUCGAAACGGCACGAAGUCGCCCCGAGACACCCGUCAGAGAGGCCAAAGGCUGCGUUCCUGCAGGAAGUUCCACCCGCCCCCCUCCCUGCCUCCCCCGCGGACCUCUCCCCCCGCCGGGGCCGGCCCUUCCCGCGCAGGGGCAGCGGGACCGCGGCCGGGAGGGAAGAGGCGCGGGCGGCGGGCGCCCGGUCCUGCGGAGGGGCCGGUCCGGGGCGGCUGGGCGGGAACCGGCCCCGCUCCCGGCCGUUGUGCGGGGCUAGAGCCGCUGCGGGCAACGCCAGAGCGGGGGUGCCUGAUGCUCUAGGCCGGCACAGCUGUUCGUUCAGGAAGGGAGGAACGCUGAGGAAAGAAUCCUUUAAUAGUCUCCACCUGUAAAAGACAACCCUCCAACUUUCACCUGGGAUCAGUUUUGAAUUAGCCAUGUGAGAAUCAGCUGUGUGAACUCUGGGGUCAGACCCAUCCCUGGCAUCUUUUUUUUAUUAUUUUUUUAACCAACUGUUCUCCAUGGUUUGUUGUUUGUUUUCCAGAAGUUUGAGGGUUUAUACAGCCUAUUACAAGUUUUCCUAAAAAGAGAAAGAAAUGUAUCCUUCUUCCCAUGCUUUCCCAGAGAGGAAAAAAAACCCAAAACACUUUUGCAUAUGAGAUUGUACAUCAAAUUGUAAAUAAAUAUAGUUGUAUGUGGAAGAAUUUUAAUGUUUAUCAGCAUCCUGCACCUAAUUUUGUUACAGAGUUGGGCCUUAAGGGCUCAUGUAUGCUCUCACAAACUUUACAUUGCAGAGUUUCACCCAAGACAAUCAGUACAGUUCUGUUCCACCUUGUAGUAAGAAAAAAGCUGGUUAUUUCAGUGACUCAUUAAGGCAUGUUUUAUUUUAGUGAAAAAAACAAGCAUAUGAAACUUGAAUGUGUGAAAAUCAACUUUAACAAUGUAAUUAAUUUCUGAAAAAUUAGAUUUCACAAACACAAUACAGUAUUCAAUAUAUUUCCUGGAAAAAGCUUUCUUAUGUCUUUCAGAUGGGCAGUGCGUUACAGUGUAACAGCCUCUGGAUAGGUUGCCAUCUCUAGAACCCAGGGCAACAGCUUAGACAGAAGCCAUGGACUAGGGAGAAAUACUAUUUACAGCCCAAGGAUAUCUGUUUUCACUAAUUGUUUAUACCAAGAGGAAUGGUUUCAAGAGGAAAGAACAAGAGAAACGCAUUUCAAACUGAGGUCUUGCAUUUAGCACCUGAACCUGUGCAACACAGCUAAAACUAUGUUGCUUGCAAGGCUCACUGGCUUUUCUGAAGGUAAAAAAAUUGCCAUUCCUACUCAGCCUAAGGAUCUGGUGGUGUUAGACCGCAACUGUAGUCAGAGCACUCCUGGAGGAUCUGGGUCUAGUAAUAAGGUACGAAGUCACAAAUAAACAGAUUUUGCCUUUGCCUAUUUUAAGAGACAGGCCUCAAAACCUAGCAGUUUUUCACCUUCGGGAUAGCUGAAAAUUAAUUUCAAUGUUACACGUUUGUUUUGGAGAGACAUUGUCCUAGAUUUGGUCUGGCAGAAGGUACAGUGUGCAUACUCCUCAUUUCCAUUGCUGUGAAUUGGCUUAGAAGUUUGUGAAUUUGUUGUUUUUCUUAAAUUCUUACCUACUAGAGGCAGUUGAAGAGAGACUCCAAGGUAAGUAAGAUUCAUGGUUUGGGCAAAUACUUGAAAAUGAGCUUCACGUAUCAGGAACUAGAAGCAAAUCAAAAUCAGAUUGCAUGUAAUACAAAACAGUAUGCCACUUGACUGGUGCAUAGACUGCAUUAAAAGAAUAAUAAGAGAGCGAGUUUGAAAGCAGAUGUUUAUUUGUUUAUUGGCAUUCUUGUUAACCUUUUGGACAGUGAGAAUGGGUAAAGUAUACCAGGUUUACCUGAAAAUGACUGAUAUUUUAGAGUUUGCGCACUGUGUUAAUGCUUACAUCUUAAUUAGGAUUU